UAUUCAGGUAAUGGAGGCUGGAU
rnacentral:piRNA from 1 species